rnacentral:rRNA from 1 species
CAGCCGCCGCGGGAAAACGUAGGUGGCAAGCGUUGUCCGGAAUUAUUGGGCGUAAAGCGCACGCAGGUGGUUUAAUAAGUCUGAUGUGAAAGCCCACGGCUCAACCGUGGAGGGUCAUUGGAAACUGUUAGACUUGAGUGCAGGAGAGAAAAGUGGAAUUCCUAGUGUAGCGGUGAAAUGCGUAGAGAUUAGGAGGAACACCAGUGGCGAAGGCGGCUUUUUGGCCUGUAACUGACACUGAGGCGCGAAAGCGUGGGGAGCAAACAGGAUUAGAUACCCCAUAGCCUGUCUCUUAUACACA